GAUGAACGCUAGCGGCAGGCCUAACACAUGCAAGUCGAGUGGCAGCACAGAAACAGCAAUGUUUUGGUGGCGACCGGCGGACGGGUGCGUAACGCGUAUGCAACCUACCUUUAACAGGGGGAUAACGGAGAGAAAUUUCCACUAAUACCCCAUAACAUCGAUCAAGGCAUCUUGAUUGGUUGAAAACUCCGGUGGUUAAAGAUGGGCAUGCGUUGUAUUAGGUAGUUGGUGAGGUAAUGGCUCACCAAGCCUACGAUACAUAGGGGGACUGAGAGGUUAGCCCCCCACACUGAUAAUGAGACACGGACCAGACUCCUACGGGCGGCAGCAGUGAGGAAUAUUGGUCAAUGGGGGCAACCCUGUACCAGCCAUGCCGCGUGCAGGAAGACGGCUCUAUGAGUUGUAAACUGCUUUUAAACAGGGAUAAAGCACAGUAUGUAUACUGUGUUGAAGGUACCUUGCGAAUAAGGAUCGGCUAACUCCGUGCCAGCCGCCGCCGUAA
rnacentral:rRNA from 1 species